AGUAUAGAGAAGAACGGUAGCAACUGAGGGUUCCUGAUACGCAAUUAUCAUAUUUCUUUGGCGGGGCAUGUUGGCAGCAGCUGCGUGGAUGUUGUGUUCUGUUGUGCUGUUGUAGGUGUGGUGUAUUUUACAUAAACGAGUAGGGUUCCGUUUCAUUCCAAUUUAGGCAAAUAUUUCGGUAGGUCUUAUCCGCAGAAGAAAUGCCAUUUUUUUUGCCCUUUCUUCCAUCGAAAUCACACUAAUUCAUUCAGAUUAUGAUUUGCUUGUUAUAAUACUUAAGCUUUUGAAAGCAGGCUCCAUUUUUUAAACUGUCUUGGACGAAGCAGUGAGUUACAUUUUCCAUUGAGUUCUUAAAAGAAGUUUGUAAUCUGUAUUAACGAGAUUUUAGCCCUUUUGAAGAAAGAACUCACAUUUAGCGAGUUUGUCGGGAUUGGGAUCAGGCAUUGCAAUUGAUCUCAUCUUUCGAUCAUCUGAGCAAAGAUAAGGAUCAAAAAGUGGGAUACGAUCUCAGUGCUCUUGGAUCGAUCUUUAAAUCAUAAUCUUAUGCUCUUUCGCUCAGAUAUAGGGCAGUGCAUGAAAUUAUCUCCUUCUCUUUUACUCUUACAGAAAUUUUGUAAGCAACAAAGCCACGAAACGUCAAAAUCCCAUACAAAAUCAAAACAGUGCAGUGCCCUAUUCAAUCUUUAAACUCAGUAGCCAGGGAACAACAACAGGGAAAGUUAACAACAGUUCUGUCAGCGUUGUUUUUCAGUAAAUGGAUCUGGACUGAUACGGGAAUAGGGCACUGCACUGUUUUGAUUUUGUAUGGGAUUUUGACGUUUCUUGGCCUUGUUGUUUACAAAAUUUCUGGAUGAGUGAAAGAGAAGGAGAGAAUAUUAUCUCUCCUCAGACAAAGAUGAUCUCUUGGCUCAGAUGAGUAAUGCAAUGCCUGAUUGGGAUUCGAUUCUAGGUCUUCGGCGUAAGCGUCACGUGUUUUAACCAACACACUAGGUCCGUUUAACAAAAAAAAAGUCUUACGAAAUCCAUCUAGUUCUCGCUAAUUCUUAACUAAAGGAAUUUGAAAACAUUUCACUAACCACACGUAUUUGGAUUGGUCAAUAGUGGUAAUCACGUUGAAAUGUAUGCGUGCUUUUUUGUAGAUGUAGUUGUGAAACUGUGAGGAAAACAUUUGCACUCCUACCCCAGAUUUUUGUUUUAUCAUUAUUUACCCGUUUUACCCAAUUUUAUUUUCAUUUUAAAUUUGAGUACAUAUGUUUGACAUAUACAGUGUUGUGUCUGGCUAAUUAAAGAUUCUUACUAUGCUGCCAUGCAUUAAGUGAUUUAUGGGGGGAUACCGUCAAUCCUCUUCAUAGCUGAAUUAUUUUACGAUAUACAGAUGCAAAAUGAUCAUUGGCAGAGGAAGCUUUUAUAAUUUUCAAGUUAGGCAAAGCUGUUGUACAUGAAAAGCAUACUUGAAAAUCAAUAUUAAUUAGUGCGGCAUGCGUUAUACAAGGUAAGACAUUUGUGAAAAGUUGUAAAUUUGAUUAAUCAGGAGAUUUCCUAAUUUUUCUGUGAGAAUCUUCAUUUCUCUUUUUUUAAUACAGCGUCCGUUCGCUCGUUGCAAAAUGUUUACUUUGCAACGAGCGAAUGCCAUUCGCUAAUUGCAACGUCACUUUGACACUAAAGUGCAUCGAAAUGCACUGACAGCACGAAUUUGACACAUGCUUGCUUUUUAAUUGCAAAAACUUGUCAAAUUUUGCAAUUAGCGGACUUGCAAUUAAAAAGCUUUGCAACGAGCGGGUUUGCAACGAGCGAACGGACGCUGUAUU